rnacentral:rRNA from 1 species
UGGGUAAAGCUCAAGUUUAAAACCUGUUUGUCCUAGACAAACCGGAUUGUAAACUAAGGACGUGCUAUCCAGGCUCUUUGGACCUUCAAGUCCUUUGGAAUAAGGCUUCACAGAGGGUGACAAUCCCGUAGAGGGUCUUGAAAGAGUCUAUUGCGAUGCAUGCUCCAAGAGUCAGGUUGUUUGGGAAUGCAGCCUAAAGUGGGAGGUAAAUCCCUCCUAAAGCUAAAUAUUGGCGAGAGACCGAUAGCAAACAAGUACCGUGAGGGAAAGUUGAAAAGGACUUUGAAAAGAGAGUCAAAAGUACGUGAAAUUGCUUAAAGGGAAGCGUUUGGAGCUAGUUUGGCUAGUCUGUUAUCAGCCUGAGCUUCGGCUUUGGUGUACUAUCAGGCUAUUUGCCGGCCAACUUUCAGGAUUGGAAGGAAAGCUUAGUGCUUUGGAGUCUAAAGAGACCUUUGCGGAAGCCUCUGGUGGAGCGUUGGUCUGCCUUGGCCCUUCUGAACCUAUAGUUGGCUUAAUGGCUCUAAACGGCCCGUCU